rnacentral:SRP_RNA from 1 species
AUGGUUCACUGGAGUAGGCUGCGAGGCCCAAGCGGCCAAGGAGUGCAGCGGCCCGUUAUCCUUCCACCGUUGGAAGCGGGCAGUUGUCGCUGCUCUGUGAAGCCAGCCUCACGCUGUGCCUGCCACAUUAUGGACCGUGAGGCCCAGCUUUCGCAUAGGCCCCAGCGGUCCACUACGCAACUUGGAACGGCGGGCCUGCAGUAGCACACCCGGACCAGGCCCGCAGCGCUACAACAGCGUCCACAUCACCUUAAUGCCCCCACUCGGGUUACAAGCUCUCGUAACUGA